rfam:Leptospira interrogans serovar Bataviae str. HAI135 ctg1130079951186, whole genome shotgun sequence.
GAAGGUAGGCCCUUCGAAAUCGUUGUUCAGGCAAAGAUUUCAAACCACUGAUUGCUGCUUUGUUAAAGAGACAAGGUGGUAAGCGAAUCAGCAAAAAAAAGUAUGUAUCAACAUAUUAGGU